rnacentral:lncRNA from 1 species
CAAACCCAGUGUUCAACAGCGACACAGUGUGGUCACCACUGGCGCAGCAGCUCCAGCGAGAGGCUCAACCAUUUUAGGACCCUCCCUCCACCUGCAGUUUGAAGGUUGCUGACCUCCCCCAUGGACCCAGAAUGCCCCCAGACUUCACGGACAAUAGGGAAGGUGAGGAUCUUCAAGAUGCAAUACUGGACUUUCUACAAAUAAAGACAACUGGGAUUUGAGGAUGCUGAGGCCAAAGAGAUGUGUCAUUCCCAAGACUCCACAAUUUGCCCCAUCUCUAGUCCAACCCACUGGUCUUAUGGAUGAGAACAGAGAGGCUCAGAGAGCAAAUGGCCUUGCCCAAGGUCACAGACACAGCAAGACCAGCAACCAGGUCUUCAGACCCCACAUGCUCCUUUCCUGGCCCCAAACUGCCAGGGAACGUGGUUCUCAAAGUACAGUCAGAGGACCUGCAGCAUCAAAGUCGUCUUGGAGUCUGUUAAAAUGCAUAUUUCCAGGCCCCACUCUAGACCUGUUGAAUUCAAAUCUCUGAGGAUGAGGCCCUGGAAUCAGCAUUUUAGCCAGCACGGAGAAUGUUUUUGAGAGUUAGUUGGGUCCUUGCAUGGAUCCUGAAGGAACAUCGUGUAAUUUUUUAGUUUGUUCACUAGAGGGAGCCAGUGCCCCAGGGACACAACCAUGAAGCUUCCCUGAGAACCGCAAAACAGCAAGUUUCCCAUCUGGGACCAGGUGGCUGACAGCGAUGGCUGCUGUUUAGGAGAGAUGCUCCAGUCACUCCAGUCAAUAGAAUUCAGAAAAAGGGAGCAUCUUAAUUAGACAGGAGUCAGAAAACCUGAGUUCUAAUGCAACCCCGCCACCUGACCUUAAGCAGCCACAUCUGUCAGAUUCUCCGUGCAGCCUAGGCAGAACCCUU